CCCGUGCAUAUAUGAUGAUUAAUAUGUUGGUAGGGACAUCUGAAUUAAAAUGUAGAAUGCCAACCCUCUCUGACUGCACGGG